UACGGGGGGAGCAAGCGUUGUUCGGAUUUACUGGGCGUAAAGGGCGCGUAGGCGGUCAGCACAAGUCAGUUGUGAAAUCUCCGGGCUUAACCCGGAAAGGUCAACUGAUACUGUGCGACUAGAGUGCGGAAGGGGCAACUGGAAUUCGUCGGUGUAGCGGUGAAAUGCGUAGAUAUCGAGAGGAACACCUGCGGCGAAGGCGGGUUGCUGGGCCGACACUGACGCUGAUGCGCGAAAGCCAGGGGAGGCGAAGCGGG
rnacentral:rRNA from 1 species